ACGUGGGAGGCAUGACUAUACGCGUUUGCAAGUGAAAAGAGCAGCCGUGAGACUCGAUGAUUCCACUGAUAAAAUUCGUUAUUCCGAGAAGUUGCACGCUGGUCAUCCGGUCGACGGAAUAAAAGGAACCACAUGAAGAUACAACGGUGUCGCUUUGCUGGUCGCUUGGUGCGUCGCGCAUCACGCAGAGAUAACGUAAUCCUGAUACCAAGCGUGGGAAAGGAAGCUCCUAUCAAUCGCACUGCAAACGUGAGUUAUCGUAAUCUACCCGAUGAUGAGAAAUCAACGAGGACGUCGCGAAUCAACGAGGACGUCGCUGUUAUCAGCCGUCAUUGCGAAUUCGAAUCUGAUAGAUAGAGCAAGAUUCUUCCCGUCGCAUGUCACCAACGUAAUUGCACCUCGACGAGGACGUUUUUCCUCGGAUCAUACGCCGGCAAGGCCGCGGGAUGGAUAUUUGUCUGCGAAGUGCGCGAUUCACGCACCUCCUCAAGACGAGGAAUUACGCCGAGGAGCGAGCCGUUUCGCGUACGUACCGUACACGCAUUUCUGCUGAUAAAGGAAUAUCGUUUACGCUUUAUUUCCAUAGGUCGUGCGCGCGCGCGCGCGCAACGUUAUGAAACACACGCUCCGCUUAUACGAGUUUCAGGUUAACGUAGCUCGCUGUGCUCUAAUAGCGUGGCAGGCAUAUUGUACCUGCGUCAGUGGGAACAUAAUAAUGUCCACGAUGCCGGUGACGCAACCAAGUGGCCGCGACGCACGCACAUACAUACACACAUACACACACAAACAAACACAACAAGCGGCAAACGUACAGCUCGUACACGCGAUAUCGAGUACCAGUAAUAUCCGUGUGUGGUUCAGAGUUCAACAAAUAAUCCCGAUAAAUGACAGCAACUGCAUCGCGCCCGAUAUUUCGCCUACUUUUUUUCUUAUUUACAUUCAUUGCAACGAAUAAAGAAAAUAGAUAAGAAAAUAAAUAGAAGUUAUUGGAUAUUGCAAAGCUUUGCAACGAGAUAUUAAACCUCAUGAAAGGAGAACGCGAGGUUACCGGUGUUCACCGGUGCAUAAUUGACAUAUUAAAUGAAAGUAAAUUAAAUAAAAUUAAUAAAUUAACACAAUGGACAAAGCAACAAGAGCCUCGUAUGACUAUUUCGCUACUAAUUACACAAAAGAAGCGUCGAAACAAAAGAGUUUCUGCAAUAAUAAUUUCUAUUAUGACAGUGUUUUUUUCUAUUAUAAUAAUAAUAGCUUGGUGCACACGCGACGGCACAGUUCGAUUCGACGAAUGAGAACCAUACGUUUCUAUUUCCGGCUUUGACUCCUAUGACCCUUGUAUUAUCGAGUAUCCUGUGUCAAGUAACGCUCCAAUUGCGGAUACUUCGAGCGGUUACUUAUGCGCGACAUUUCUAUUAUCAACAGUGUUAUUUUUAGCGAACACUUUCGGGCCGGGGGUGUAAUUAACGGUCAAUUAACGGACAGAAUACACGAGUAUCAGUGGGCACUAAUGAAGCGCGCGCGGAGGAGAAACGUCGGCGCAGGCGGAGACGAGCGUUUUGACAAACGUUGCGAAUGAUAUACCUCGUCUCUGGUGUUGGAUACCCAGAAAUUAACGCUCAGCGCGUUUCUCGAGGUAAGAAGUCGUCAUCGGAGACGAGGAGUCAGCUCGUCGUUAUACGCCGGGUAGGUGAAAACCCGACGUCUCUGUACUCGGCACUAGUCGUUCUUGAUCUUUGCUCAACGUGCACACGCGUCAAAAAAAGAAAAAUUUUUUCUCCCUGUACAUACCAACCACAUACAAUUGAAAUUAACAUUUCUAAUAACGUGGGAUUCGUUAAUACUUAUUGCGGCCGCACUUAUUUCGGGACAAUUUUUCGACCGCCGCAUUUCAAAAGUUUUAACAAUAUUUUGAGAGGUGAAAAUGUUCUACUUGUAUAUAAAUCCGUACAGUUUCAUAUAAUAUUAUAAUUCUACAAUGUUAUUAUGUUAAUUUUGAGACUAUUAUUAUUGAGGAAUAUUUCUUUAUAGAGCUCGUAUAGUAUUAAAAUUGUAAAAUAUUAAUAACAUUUUACAAUUUUAAUAUUCUAUACGAGCUCUAUAAAGAAAUAUUUCUCAAUAAUAGUUUACGCAAUUGUAA